GAUGAACGCUGGCGGCGUGCCUAAUACAUGCAAGUCGAGCGAACAGACGAGGAGCUUGCUCCUCUGACGUUAGCGGCGGACGGGUGAGUAACACGUGGAUAACCUACCUAUAAUACUGGGAUAACUUCGGGAAACCGGAGCUAAUACCGGAUAAUAUAUUGUACCGCAUGGUUCAAUAGUGAAUGACGGCUUUGCUGUCACUUAUAGAUGGAUCCGCGCCGCAUUAGCUAGUUGGUAAGGUAACGGCUUACCAAGGCAACGAUGCGUAGCCGACCUGAGAGGGUGAUCGGCCACACUGGAACUGAGACACGGUCCAGACUCCUACGGGAGGCAGCAGUAGGGAAUCUUCCGCAAUGGGCGAAAGCUUGACGGAGCAACGCCGCGUGAGUGAUGAAGAUCUUCGGAUCGUAAAACUCUGUUAUUAGGGAAGAACAAAUGUGUAAGUAACUAUGCACGUCUUGACGGUACCUAAUCAGAAAGCCACGGCUAACUACGUG
rnacentral:rRNA from 1 species